rnacentral:rRNA from 1 species
AUUGAACGCUGGCGGCAGGCCUAACACAUGCAAGUCGAACGGUAACAGGAAGCAGCUUGCUGCUUUGCUGACGAGUGGCGGACGGGUGAGUAAUGUCUGGGAAACUGCCCGAUGGAGGGGGAUAACUACUGGAAACGGUAGCUAAUACCGCAUAACGUCGCAAGACCAAAGAGGGGGACCUUAGGGCCUCUUGCCAUCGGAUGUGCCCAGAUGGGAUUAGCUAGUAGGUGGGGUAACGGCUCACCUAGGCGACGAUCCCUAGCUGGUCUGAGAGGAUGACCAGCCACACUGGAACUGAGACACGGUCCAGACUCCUACGAGAGGCAGCAGUGGGGAAUAUUGCACAAUGGGCGCAAGCCUGAUGCAGCCAUGCCGCGUGUAUGAAGAAGGCCUUCGGGUUGUAAAGUACUUUCAGCGGGGAGGAAGGGAGUAAAGUUAAUACCUUUGCUCAUUGACGUUACCCGCAGAAGAAGCACCGGCUAACUCCGUG